rnacentral:rRNA from 1 species
UACGAAGGGGGCUAGCGUUGCUCGGAAUUACUGGGCGUAAAGGGAGCGUAGGCGGACAUUUAAGUCAGGGGUGAAAUCCCGGGGCUCAACCUCGGAACUGCCUUUGAUACUGGAUGUCUUGAGUGUGAGAGAGGUAUGUGGAACUCCGAGUGUAGAGGUGAAAUUCGUAGAUAUUCGGAAGAACACCAGUGGCGAAGGCGACAUACUGGCUCAUUACUGACGCUGAGGCUCGAAAGCGUGGGGAGCAAACAGG